ensembl:lncRNA
AUGCUAACGAAGCCCCAGGAAUGUUGCACAUUUCCAUUCCCCUCCAGCUUUCGGAGGAGGUUGGUCCCCGCUGCGGGUAGCCGCUCCGAGGAGCACAGCCCCGAGGCCACACUUGCUCCGGGCGCCGCCCCGCACCUUCCGCAGGCGCGGCCGGAGAUGCCGGCGAGACGGCUGUGGUGGGCGCGCUGCUUGCUCGGCGUCUGCCUCUCGCUGCUGGGCUCGGGGGGCGUCUCAGCGGAUCCCUGCCGCGGACCCCCGUGCGAGGGCGGCUCCGCUCCCCCGCCGCCCUGCCGCGGACCCCGCUGCGGCGGCCGGGCCGGGCGCCCGGCGCGCUCCUUCCUGCACACCGCCGCUCCGCUGCGGCCGCCGCAGGGCAGGGCACUGCCCGCAGCCCCGCCGCCCGCCUGCCCCGGCGGGGACUGCGCCGCCAACGCCACCCGCCGCGACUGCCAGGGCCUGGAGUGCCGCCUGCUGCCCGCCCGCCUGCGGCCGCGGCCCCGCGGCCCGGGCUGCGCCGCCCCCGCCGAGGGCUGCCCCGAGCCCGCCCUGCUGCGCGCCGCCGACAGAGCCGCACAGUUCGCGGGGGACGACUUCGGCCCCGCCGCUCCCGAGCGAGGCGGCGGCGCCCCGGGGGUACAGCUCACCUGCGACGUCAAGCCAGGAGAAAAUGAAGUUCCAUCUGAAGAUGCCUUAAUACUACAACUGCACCUUGCAAAAGGGCAUGAGAAAUUCACUGAAAUGCUAAAAAGCCAACAGCAGAUCAUUGCUGAUUUGCAGCAAAAACUUGCUGAACAGCAACAUGUGUUGGUUAGCCAGCAACGGGAGAUUCUUGAACAGCAAAGAAAAAUGUAUGAGCAAAUGGAUCUGAUCAAAGUCCAGUAUGGCAUGCUUUUUGAUACAGUGAAACAAAUGUCAUUUCAGAGUUUGCAAGAAGAUAUUCAAAAUUAUUUUGAAAGUCAUCUUCAUGGACUUCAGAACCAGGUCAGAAAUCAUCUCCAGAAGUCAUACUCUGUGCACAAAGUAGAAGUGGAUGCAAAAGUGAUUAACGUUGGGGAGUCUUUGCUGGACUGUGGCCUUUGUGAAAGUGAUGAAUUUUGCAAUUUCCAAAAGACACCUUCACAAUGUGAAAAAUGCACAUUGUGUCCUGCUGGUUUUUUCCAAAUGACCGAGUGUUCUGCAAACUCUGAUCGGAUUUGCCAGGACAGAGAUGAGUGCAUUGAAUCUCCAAGCAUUUGUGGUGAGAGGAUAAAAUGCCUCAAUACUCCAGGUGGUUUCCGAUGCCUUGGAAUUGCUGAGAAAGAUGCAGCUUUGGGAAUGUGUGGAGAGCAACAUUUCUUUAAUAAGGAAAUGCAGGAAUGCCAAGCGUGUUUAAAGUGUGAAGAUGGAAUGGUGGCCGUGCCUUGUUCUGCUGUCAGUGACACAGUUUGUUCAGCAGCCAGUGAAAACAAGCUCUCAGAGUCUUGGGCUGCAAACAUUGUUCUGCCCUCCGUAAAGUCUGGCAUCUCUCAGGUCUACUCUGGCUUGAGCUUGAAGAUCAAGGGAAAACUUCCCUGUGAUAUCCUGUCCACUGAAGAGAGCAGCCUGGUAUUCAGGCAACAUGGUCUGUUGUGGACUGACUUAAAUUUUGCAGUAAAACACAACUGCAGGAACUUUUUGCAGCUUUCCUUAAAGCUCAAUGGCAGUGAGGAAGACUAUGAACUGAGCGGUGUUCGGAUCGAGCAGCCAGAAGGAAAGUAUUUCCAGAGCACUAGUUUAAGUAGUGCUGCUGAAGUGGAGCCCAGCCAAACUCUUUCUGUGUAUUUGAGGAGCCCUAAUCAAUUCUGCAAUCAAAGCAAAGACUUAAAUAUUUAUGAUCUUAAUACCCCGCUCAGUUUGUUUUGGUUGUCCCACGACACAGGUGCCGUGGCACUCAGUGCACAGAUGUCAACAGCGAUGCAUUACCAGACCAACUAUCGACCUACCUUUAAAAUAAUUUCUGUUUCUGACCCUUAUAUGCUAACUUUAUCUCAUGAUGGCAGAGCUAUAAAGUUCACUGAAACUGGUGUUGUCAAAUUUGUGUUUCAUCAAGCAUUGUAUUCCAUGGGUCAUACGUGUGUCCGGGAGGGCUUCUCCUUAAUUUCUUACAUCAAUAGGAAUGGUACCAACAGAGAAUUAAUGAAUGUAUUUAAAUCUGGAGUAAAUUACAGAGACACAUCAAUAUCUGCUUCUGGGGCUACAAAGGUUGGUGCUGGAGAUCUGGUUAGCUUUGAGAUACUUUCUCCUGCACAAUGUAAUGUUCGCUAUUUUGGAGAUAGUUCUGGAAUUAGUAUGUUUAGCCUCAUCUGGAUCCCUUCAGCAGUUUCUAGUGCCAUAUUAGCCACAGUUUCUGUUACAGCUCUGCCUACUGGUGCUGUGAGGAACAAACUCCUGGAUUUCACACAGGUCUCUUCCAAUGAGAAACAGAUACAACUGGUUUCUUCUGGACAGCUUGCUCAGAAGUAUUUUAUUUUUACUGAAAAGGGAGUUGCCAGCAUUGCAUUUAACUUAAAGCUAAUCCAUUCCUGCAAUGUGCUCAAAGUGACUCUCAAUCAGCUGACCACGGAUCACAUGCAGCCCACUGCAGUUGCUCAGCAGAUUGGAGGUCAGAUGCCAGAGGGAAGCACAUGGACCAGCGUGUCCCUCCGUGCAUCUUUUGAAGUGCAUAAUGGAACAUUGGUAUCAGUUUCUCUUGACUGUGUGCGUGGAAGGAUCAAUCAGAUCACUCAUGAACAUGGAACCAGUAUAUCUAUUUUAUGGAUUUCAUCUUAAUUUCUGUGCAGUGAAGUUAGCAUGGAAUUGGGAUUUCAAUUGUAUUUGGAGCCUACUCUGAUUCUAUACGUAUUUGACACUAUACUGUGUUGACUUGAGCGGAUAAUCCCACAGAAUGCUUUCAAUUUUAGGAAUAUUUAAAUAUAAUCUUAACUGAAUGAUCACUAUUUAAAGAAAGCAAGAGCUUUCAGUCAAGAUUUUAAUUCUGCUACCAUCUUCAGACAGGGGAACGUCAAACUCCCUUAUUUUCAAUAAAGCAGCCUCUUAAAAUUGAUUAUUUCUGGAC